UGAGUAACACGUAUCCAACCUGCCGUCUACUCUUGGACAGCCUUCUGAAAGGAAGAUUAAUACAAGAUGGCAUCAUGAGUCCGCAUGUUCACAUGAUUAAAGGUAUUCCGGUAGACGAUGGGGAUGCGUUCCAUUAGAUAGUAGGCGGGGUAACGGCCCACCUAGUCUUCGAUGGAUAGGGGUUCUGAGGGGAAGGUCCCCCACACUGGAACUGAGACACGGUCCAG
rnacentral:rRNA from 1 species